GUGAGGAAUAUUGGUCAAUGGGCGCGAGCCUGAACCAGCCAAGUCGCGUGAGGGAAGACGGCCCUACGGGUUGUAAACCUCUUUUGCCGGGGAGCAACGCUGCGGACGUGUCCGCAGGUGAGAGUACCCGGAGAAAAAGCAUCGGCUAACUCCGUGCCAGCAGCCGCGGUAAUACGGAGGAUGCGAGCGUUAUCCGGAUUUAUUGGGUUUAAAGGGUGCGUAGGCCGGCUGUCAAGUCAGCGGUAAAAAUUCGGGGCUCAACCCCGUAAAGCCGUUGAAACUGGCGGUCUUGAGUAGCGGCGAGGCAUGCGGAAUGCGAGGUGUAGCGGUGAAAUGCAUAGAUAUCACGCAGAACUCCGAUUGCGAAGGCAGCAUGCCAGCCGCCGACUGACGCUGAGGCACGAAAGUGCGGGUAUCGAACAGGAUUAGAAACCCUAGUAGUCC
rnacentral:rRNA from 1 species